GAUGAACGCUGGCGGCGUGCUUAACACAUGCAAGUCGAACGAAGCACCUCUCCCGAAGAUUGACACAGCUUGCUGUAGAUUGAUUCAUUUGAGGUGACUGAGUGGCGGACGGGUGAGUAACGCGUGGGUAACCUGCCUCAUAGAGGGGGACAACAGUUGGAAACGACUGCUAAUACCGCAUAGUAAGAAGAAUUCGCAUGUUUUCUUCUUGAAAGAUUUAUCGCUAUGAGAUGGACCCGCGUCUGAUUAGCUAGUUGGUAAGGUAACGGCUUACCAAGGCGACGAUCAGUAGCCGGCUUGAGAGAGGGAACGGCGACAUUGGGACUGAGACACGGCCCAAACUCCUACGGGAGGCAGCAGUGGGGAAUAUUGCACAAUGGGGGAAACCCUGAUGCAGCGACGCCGCGUGAGUGAAGAAGUAUUUCGGUAUGUAAAGCUCUAUCAGCAGGGAAGAUAAUGACGGUACCUGACUAAGAAGCCCCGGCUAACUACGUG
rnacentral:rRNA from 1 species